rnacentral:rRNA from 1 species
UGAGUAAUGUCUGGGAAACUGCCUGAUGGAGGGGGAUAACUACUGGAAACGGUAGCUAAUACCGCAUAACGUCGCAAGACCAAAGAGGGGGACCUUCGGGCCUCUUGCCAUCAGAUGUGCCCAGAUGGGAUUAGCUAGUAGGUGGGGUAAUGGCUCACCUAGGCGACGAUCCCUAGCUGGUCUGAGAGGAUGACCAGCCACACUGGAACUGAGACACGGUCCAGACUCCUACGGGAGGCAGCAGUGGGGAAUAUUGCACAAUGGGCGCAAGCCUGAUGCAGCCAUGCCGCGUGUGUGAAGAAGGCCUUCGGGUUGUAAAGCACUUUCAGCGAGGAGGAAGGUGGUGAGCUUAAUACGCUCAUCAAUUGACGUUACUCGCAGAAGAAGCACCGGCUAACUCCGUGCCAGCAGCCGCGGUAAUACGGAGGGUGCAAGCGUUAAUCGGAAUUACUGGGCGUAAAGCGCACGCAUGCGGUUUGUUAAGUCAGAUGUGAAUCCCCGGG